rnacentral:telomerase_RNA from 1 species
GAGAUUCGCAAGCUGGGGGAUGUGGGGCUGGGAGUGAGGCGAGCGUUUCUGAACCCUAAACCUCACGCUCUACAUACAUAGUAGAGCCUGCUUGGCAGGUCUUUUCCCGGGGUUUCCCUGAAAUGGCUACAAAAAAGAAACUCCGACGCACUAGCUCGUUCUGAAUCCCAUGUGGUUCGUUCACCCCAUGAGAGGUUUGAAGGUGGCGCCGCUGUGUCCGACGGAUGUCUUGCGGUUGCUGAUGGUCCUCGCCUCUCGGCAUCCCCAUUUUU